GAUGAACGCUGACAGAAUGCUUAACACAUGCAAGUCUUUGGCGAAGCUGUGCUUGCACAGCCUAGCCAAGGCGGACGGGUGAGUAACGCGUAAGGAACUUGCCCUGCAGUCAGGGAUAACAGACGGAAACGACUGAUAAGACCUGGUAAAGUCAGGCGGACUCAUGUCCAGCCUGAUGAAAAGAGAUGCUGCAGGAGAGCCUCGCGUCCUAUUAGCUUGUUGGUGGGGUAACGGCCCACCAAGGCGAUGAUAGGUAGCCGGCCUGAGAGGGUGGACGGCCACAAGGGGACUGAGAUACGGCCCUUACUCCUACGGGAGGCAGCAGUGGGGAAUAUUGGACAAUGGGGGCAACCCUGAUCCAGCAAUUCUGUGUGCACGAUGAAGGUUUUCGGAUUGUAAAGUGCUUUCAGCAGGGAAGAAAAAAAUGACGGUACCUGCAGAAGAAGCGACGGCUAAAUACGUG
rnacentral:rRNA from 1 species